GGUAGCGUGGCCGACUGGUCUAUGGCGCUGGUUUUAGGCACUACUCAUUUCGAUGACGUGGGUUCGAAUCCCACCGCUGCCA
rnacentral:tRNA from 1 species